CAGUAGGGAGGUAACGGUAGUGUAGUUAACACCUGUCACCUAUUUGACGUUACCUACAGAAGAAGCACCGGCUAACUCCGUGCCAGCAGCCGCGGUAAUACGGAGGGUGCGAGCGUUAAUCGGAAUUACUGGGCGUAAAAGCGCAUGCAGGCGGCCUGUUAAGUCAGAUGUGAAAAGCCCGGGCUUAAACCUCGGAAAUUGCAUUUGAAAAACUGGCAGGCUAGAGUCUUGUAGAGGGGGUAGAAUUUCAGGUGUAGCGGUGAAAAUGCGUAGAGAUCUGAAGGAAUACCAGUGGCGAAGGCGGCCCCCUGGACAAAGACUGACGCUCAGACUGCGAAAGCGUGGGGAGCCAAACAGGAUUAGAUACCCCUGGUAG
rnacentral:rRNA from 1 species